GCUUGGAUUUCUCUUGGUGGUGUUGUGCUGGCCAUAACAGGAACUGAAGCACUAUUUGCUGAUGUUGGACAUUUCACAGUUCGUUCCAUACAAAUAAGCAUGUGCUCUGUGACAUACCCUGCUCUCCUACUUGCCUACACUGGACAAGCCUCAUUUCUUCGCAAAAACAACGAUCUCGUUUCAGACACUUUCUACAAGUCCAUACCACAUCCUUUAUA
rnacentral:sRNA from 1 species